rnacentral:rRNA from 1 species
UGGCGGCUGGCCUAUCACAUGCAAGUCGAACGGUAUCAGGAAGCAGUUUGCUGCUUUGCUGACGAGUGGCGGACGGGUGAGUAAUGUCUGGGAAACUGCCUGAUGGAGGGGGAUAACUACUGGAAACGGUAGCUAAUACCGCAUAACGUCGCAAGACCAAAGAGGGGGACCUUCGGGCCUCUUGCCUUCAGAUGUGCCCAGAUGGGAUUAGCUAGUAGGUGGGGUAACGGCUCACCUAGGCGACGAUCCCUAGCUGGUCUGAUAGGAUGACCAGCCUCACUGGAACUGAGACACGGUCUAGACUCCUACGGGAGGCUGCACUGGGGAAUAUUGCACAUUGGGCGCAAGCCUGAUGCAGCCAUGCCUCGUGUAUGAAGAUCGCCUUCGGGUUGUAAAGUACUUUCAGCGGGGAGGAAGGCGAUGUGGUUAAUAACCACGUCGAUUGACGUUUCCCUCAGAAGAAGUACCGGCUAACUCCGUGCCUGCAUCCGCGG